GAUGAACGCUAGCUACAGGCUUUACACAUGCAAGUCGAGGGGAAACGAUAUUGGAAGCUUGCUUCCGAUAGGCGUCGACCGGCGCACGGGUGAGUAACGCGUAUCCAACCUGCCCAUCACUUGGGGAUAACCUUGCGAAAGUAAGACUAAUACCCAAUGACGUCUCUAGAAGACAUCUGAAAGAGAUUAAAGAUUUAUCGGUGAUGGAUGGGGAUGCGUCUGAUUGGCUUGUUGGCGGGGUAACAGCCCACCAAGGCGACGAUCAGUAGGGGUUCUGAGAGGAAGGUCCCCCACAUUGGAACUGAGACACGGUCCAAACUCCUACGGGAGGCAGCGGUGAGGAAUAUUGGUCAAUGGACGAGAGUCUGAACCAGCCAAGUAGCGUGCAGGAAGACGGCCCUAUGGGUUGUAAACUGCUUUUAUAAGGGAAUAAAGUGAGUCUCGUGAGACUUUUUGCAUGUACCUUAUGAAUAAGGACCGGCUAAUUCCGUGCCAGCCGCCGCAGUAAUAC
rnacentral:rRNA from 1 species